ensembl:lncRNA
UCUGUAAGUCCACACGACCACAGGAAGAUGUCAGCAAAAGAAGAGAGGCAGUUUUAAACACAAAUCAGAGCCGACAGAACACAUCAAUAUGGAGAAAGCUUCAGAGCUGUUUGGAAGGAAGAGUGUCAUCUUUGUGGUUGUGGCCAUCCUCCAAAUAACAAAACAUGCCUCAGCUCAAAAUACCACACCCCCCUCUUCCAGCACCACAGUCCCCCUCUCCACCUCCCUAUCAGCUUCUGUCCCACCCUCGACUUCAUCUCCAGGGCCUGACCCUGGCCCGUCCCAAAGCUACCUCACUUUGCCCUCAAACGUGAGAGCAGGACUGGGCAAUCUGGCACAGUUCAGUUGCGGAGUCCCCAUAAGCUCCAAGGGUCUCACCUUCACUUUCUAUGGAAGUGCUCAUAACUACACCAUUAGCUGCCCCGGCGGACACAUCGAGGACAUACCACAGGCACUUGAGGGGUAUUGUUUGGUGCGUUCGAAAGAGCUACUCGCUGGGUGGGUCCUAAAAGGAGCAUCUUUACCAGACAAUGGUACAAGGGUGGUAUGCCAAGGGAGAGGCUACCUGGCUACACGCUCUGCAUACUUGUAUGUAUAUGAUAAUGGCUCAGGAAAAGCUCUCUUGAUUGGAGUAGCUGUUGGACUGUUUUUCGGUGUAUUAACGGUGUUUGGUUUGUUAUACCUGAUGCUGACAAGAUCUGAAAGACUCCAGAUCUGCUUCAGAGCAAAAAGCAGCAGACCAGAAGAUCUAACAGAAAUUAUGGACAACAUUGAAGCCACUGCUACGCCCCCUAAGCCAACUCUUAAUGAGAAAAUGAGAGAUCUUUGAUGAGAUCUUUGUCCUUGUUCCUCGUUACGCCUGAUACUUUGCCUUCACUGACGAACCAAUAACAUCUAUUAAUGAAAUUUAAACUGUGAUCCUACUAAUUCAGAAAAGAUGAAGGGUUUCGGAGUUUUUUAGAUAUAUGCAUAAAGCACUGUUUUAUUCACAAAAAACUCAUACUUUAAACUCUUAUUACACUGUUUAUAUGAUAUAUAAAGAAUAUCAUAUGCUAAAGACCAUAUAAAAUACUGUAUAUCUGUGCUUCUUCAAGCUUUGUUAUUUUAUUUUAUUUUUAUUUUUUUUGUAUUUAAU